rnacentral:lncRNA from 1 species
GGUUGGCAUUGAAUGUUUGUAUUCCACUAGUAUUUGUCACAUCAUCUGGUUAGGUCGACUAUAUCCUGCUACAUGGUGUGCCAGUAGUAUCUUUGUUGAGGCACUUUAUAUGCUAGCGACUUAGCCCCUAGAUGAUUUCCACAUAUCCCCUCGUGUAUCUCAUGCAGGGCAUAAUCAGCUUCAGAGGGGCAUAGGUGCUUAAGGAGUGGUAAAGAGUAGGACAUUC